rnacentral:ncRNA from 2 species
CUAAUACUGUCUGGUAAUGCCGU